UCGGACCCAACAACAUCUUCUUCAUCAACCUUGUUCACUUGCUCAGACUCAGGAGCAUCUUCUUCAUCAAACAACCAUUUCUUCACAAGUUCACGGUACGAGCACUUGGGUUUCUCGUGCACUAUUAUCUAGAGUACUCUAUUAUCUAUUAUCUUAUACUCUGUAUCAUAUAAUCCAUAUCCAUUCUCGUCUCAAUGAUUUGUGCCAAAUCAAAAAGUGAGAGCAACUCCACUCAUUCUCCCCAAAAAAAAAAAAAAUCAAAAUAAAAGCGCCGGAGAGAGAAAACGCUUUCAACCGCAAUUCCUAAAACCAAUUUUCAUGCCGGCGCAAAAUUAAUUUCCCACGGCACACUCAGCCCAACUCCAAACCAAAAGGCGGCAAGCCGGGUCGCCGGCUAAACAGCCAAUAAAAUAGGGCACGCGUCCCACAGCUUCUUCUCUUCUCUUUCAUCUUUUUUUUUUCACUGACACAGGUCUCUCCGCCCCGACCUUUCCCUGUAUCUCUCUCCCCAGCUGGAGCUCUCUCCGUCGGCUCCUUCCCUCUCUCUGCUGCGGCCGGCACGCAGCGAGCAGCUCGUGGCGGAAGCGCGUGGUGGGCGGCGCGCGGCGGGCAGCGCGGGGCGAGCAGCUCGGGGCGGCGCGCGGCGGCAGCGAGCAGCUCAUGGCGGCAGCGCUGGAGCAUUUCGGGCCACUGUCGUUGGCGAGCCGCAUCGGAUUGGCGCCACCGUCGUUGGCGCCGUUGUCGAGGCGGUCGGCGAACCGCGGGAGCGCCUCACGCAUCCACCAGUGCGGGCAGCGGUCCAUGGCCUCAGCCACGGUGACCCAGGCCCAGCCGCGGCCGGACAUCUCGGGCCAGCGCUCCAGCUCGUCCGUGACCCGCCGCGGGGCGCCCGUGAUCUCGCUGCGCACGCUGGCCUCCUCCAGGGCCUCGCGCCGGGCCGCCUCGUCCAUGGGCUCGUCCAGCUCACACCCCGCCCCGGCCCCCUUCUUCCGCGAGCAGAUCACCGGCACCUCCACCUCGCCAUCACCGCGCACGCAAGGCUGAUUUGGAGUUCGAGUUCCUGCCCGAGGUGUUCCUGGUGGCUGCGGCGAGUCUGCGCGCGCAGCUCCGAGCGCGGCUGCGCGGGGCCGUGUCCCAGCCGGACGCGGGGCUCGCCAGCGAGCUCGCCCUCGCUGCUUGCUGCUGUCCAUGGCCACUACGGUGGCCCGCACGGCCUCUUUCCCCUGCUCGCCCGGCCAUGCCCGCGACGUGUUUGUUAAAAUGUCAAGCAAAAAUUUUGUUUGGUAUGGGGCCUUUGACUGGGUCCAUACUACCCCCUAUAAUAAAAAAAACGCCGGCGCCCCCCGCAUGAGCAAACGCCGGACCUUGUAUGAGCAAACGCCGGACCUCGUAUGGAGAUGCUCUGAUGAGAGAAAAAAACAAGUGAUGCAAACAAAAUAUAGUGACAUAGUCCAAAGGUGAUGGAAAGCCGCCACCAAUUUAGUCUUUUCUAGGAGUAAAGAGCAACAAGAACAGUUACGGGUUCUACAUGAGAAGUUCAAGGACGAGGUUAACCAUCAGUUGCUUGGUUUCAAGAACUCUCUCGAGGAUUUUGACGCAUAUCAUGCCGAACUUAAGGGGGUGGCUGACAAGCAAAAAGUGUCACACAAAAAGCUCCUCCAACAUGCUGAUAAAACAAUUGGCUCUCAGCUCAGCGAUGCUGACAUCAAAAUCGCUAAGGUUCAGAAGAGAGCUCGAAAGAAGAUAAACAGCCUAAAAUGCGUGCUCAAGGAGCUUAUCACAGAAACCGCUGGUUGACAAGUUCACCCACUCUACACAAGGCAGCUAAGGCGAAACGAGUAGGACGUAGAGAAUCGACACCAUAAACAGAUCUAUGGCUCCAUUUUACAAAGAGUACAGGAGGAAGCUGCCGGCUUCAUUUCUUACAAUUGCAAGUUGAGCUUUUCCAAGACAGUUUAGGCCCCCUUCUUUUCAAGCCACUAGCUGAAAAGAAGGGAAAACUUCUCCAAGGCUUAUUUUCCCAGCUGCAGCUUCUCGUAGUGCAAAUCCAAAAACUGCUCUGGACCAGCUUCCCGAGCUUCUGCCGCACCGUUCAUAAAAUUGCUACCACAGCGAAACGUUAUUACAAGCAUAAUGCACCGAGACCUGUCCCGAGCCCCCGACUGGCCGACUCUCUCCCUCCCUUGCCACCCGAACUCACCUGCCCGCUAGGAGAGGCGCCGCCGCCGAGUUCCGGAUUCCUAAACCGCCGGUGACGCCCAGCCUAACCCCUUCUCCGCUGUCAAGGCUUCCUCCCCUUCUGCUGCCGUUGUCGCUGGAGUACUGGACUCACUCCGUUUAUGUUCAAAAUUAGUAGCAGUGCAUAUGUUUAUGCUCCAAUUUCAUGCCCAAAUUUGGUUCUAAUGCUAUGGUGUUUUGGUUUUCUAUUAAUUUGGUUUUUACCAUUUUGUUCUUACAAAAUUUGGUACAGUCUGUAGCCUUUUUGCUGUUUUAGAAUUGGCAAAGAGGUUGCAUGAAGCAAAAACGAGUGAUUUCUUGUGUUUAA